UUGCGUAUAUGGUCAUUCAAACCUGCAUAAAACCAAUACAAACACACACUAAUACAUCCAUUUAACCAGCCAUAAUACCAUACAAACUAUUCCAUAUGAAAAGGACACUUUGCUAAGCCUUACAAACCUAUGUAAUCAUCAACCACUCAACAAGACAUAUCAAUCAUCUUAACACUUCAAACUCAACUAAAACAUGUCAUGUAUUAACUUCCUAAUCAUCUUACCAAUAUGUCUCAUUGGCACCGUUUCACAACAAGGUU
rnacentral:lncRNA from 1 species